rnacentral:tRNA from 1 species
GCCCGAGUGGCGGAAUUGGUAGACGCGUUGGUCUCAAACACCAAUGGCUUCACGGCCGUAUCGGUUCGAGUCCGAUCUCGGGUA